AAAAAAAAAUUAAAUCUUUAAAAUUUGAAUAUUAAUAGAUUUUAAAAAUUAGAUUUAAAUCACUAAUUGAAUAAUAUUAUAUUUUAAAAUUGAAUAUAUAAUCAUCAUUCAUAUAAUAGUAGAUUUAAACUCUAUUAAAAUGCAUGAUUGAAUAACACCACCUUAUUUUCUACGAUAAGGUGGUGUUAUAAAGCUAGAGCUUUUUAAAAAUAUUUAUUUUUCAAUAACUA
rnacentral:lncRNA from 1 species